rnacentral:rRNA from 1 species
GUAGGGAAUCUUCCGCAAUGGACGCAAGUCUGACGGAGCAACGCCGCGUGAGUGAAGAAGGGUUUCGGCUCGUAAAACUCUGUUGUCAGGGAAGAACGUCCCCGUGAGUAACUGCACGGGGAGUGACGGUACCUGACCAGAAAGCCACGGCUAACUACGUGCCAGCAGCCGCGGUAAUACGUAGGUGGCAAGCGUUAUCCGGAAUUAUUGGGCGUAAAGCGCGCGUAGGCGGUUUCUUAAGUCUGAUGUGAAAGCCCCCGGCUCAACCGGGGAGGGUCAUUGGAAACUGGGGAACUUGAGUACAGAAGAGGAGAGUGGAAUUCCAUGUGUAGCGGUGAAAUGCGCAGAGAUAUGGAGGAACACCAGUGGCGAAGGCGGCUCUCUGGUCUGUAACUGACGCUGAUGUGCGAAAGCGUGGGGAUCAAACAGGAUUAGAAACCCCAGUAGUCC